AUUGAACGCUGGCGGCAGGCCUAACCCAUGCAAGUCGAACGAGUGGCGGACGGGUGCGUAAUGUCUGGGAAACUGCCUGAUGGAGGGGGAUAACUACUGGAAACGGUAGCUAAUACCGCCUAACAUCAGAUGUGCCCAGAUGGGAUUAGCUUGUUGGAGGGGUAACGGCUCACCAAGGCGGCGAUUCCUAGCUGGUCUGAGAGGAAGACCAGCCACACUGGAACUGAGACAAGGUCCAGACUCCUACGGGAAGCAGCAGUGGGGAAUAGUGCACAAUGGGCGCAAGCCUGAUGCAGCCAUGCCGCGUGUAUGAAGAAGGCCUUCGGGUUGGAAAGUACUUUCAGCGGGGAGGCGUUACCCGCAGAAGAAGCACCGGCUAACUCCGUGCCAGCAGCCGCGGUAAUUC
rnacentral:rRNA from 1 species